rnacentral:rRNA from 1 species
UGGGGAAUUUUGGACAAUGGGGGCAACCCUGAUCCAGCCAUGCCGCGUGCAGGAAGAAGGUCUUCGGAUUGUAAACUGCUUUUAUUCGGGACAAAAGCGUGCGGGGGAUAAUCUCGUACGUAUGAUGGUACUGAAGGAAUAAGCACCGGCUAACUACGUGCCAGCAGCCGCGGUAAUACGUAGGGUGCGAGCGUUAAUCGGAAUCACUGGGCGUAAAGGGUACGCAGGCGGCGCGUUAAGACAGGUGUGAAAUCCCCGGGCUCAACCUGGGAACUGCACUUGUGACUGGCGUGCUUGAGUGCGGCAGAGGGGGUGGAAUUCCAAGUGUAGCAGUGAAAUGCGUAGAUAUUUGGAAGAACACCGAUGGCGAAGGCAGCCCCUGGGCCGUAACUGACGCUCAUGUACGAAAGCGUGGGGAGCAAACAGGAUUAGAUACCCUGGUAGU